rnacentral:rRNA from 1 species
GAUGAACGCUAGCUACAGGCUUAACGCAUGCAAGUCGAGGGGCAUCAGGAAGAAAGCUUGCUUUCUUUGCUGGCGACCGGCGCACGGGUGAGUAACACGUAUCCAACCUGCCCUUUACUCGGGGAUAGCCUUUCGAAAGAAAGAUUAAUACCCGAUGGCAUAAUGAUUCCGCAUGGUUUCAUUAUUAAAGGAUUCCGGUAAAGGAUGGGGAUGCGUUCCAUUAGGUUGUUGGUGAGGUAACGGCUCACCAAGCCUUCGAUGGAUAGGGGUUCUGAGAGGAAGGUCCCCCACAUUGGAACUGAGACACGGUCCAAACUCCUACGGGAGGCAGCAGUGAGGAAUAUUGGUCAAUGGGCGCUAGCCUGAACCAGCCAAGUAGCGUGAAGGAUGAAGGCUCUAUGGGUCGUAAACUUCUUUUAUAUAAGAAUAAAGUGCAGUAUGUAUACUGUUUUGUAUGUAUUAUAUGAAUAAGGAUCGGCUAACUCCGUGCCAGCAGCCGCGGUAAUACGGAGGAUCCGAGCGUUAUCCGGAUUUAUUGGGUUUAAAGGGAGCGUAGGUGGACUGGUAAGUCAGUUGUGAAAGUUUGCGGCUCAACCGUAAAAUUGCAGUUGAUACUGUCAGUCUUGAGUACAGUAGAGGUGGGCGGAAUUCGUGGUGUAGCGGUGAAAUGCUUAGAUAUCACGAAGAACUCCGAUUGCGAAGGCAGCUCACUGGACUGCAACUGACACUGAUGCUCGAAAGUGUGGGUAUCAAACAGGAUUAGAUACCCUGGUAGUCCACACAGUAAACGAUGAAUACUCGCUGUUUGCGAUAUACAGUAAGCGGCCAAGCGAAAGCAUUAAGUAUUCCACCUGGGGAGUACGCCGGCAACGGUGAAACUCAAAGGAAUUGACGGGGGCCCGCACAAGCGGAGGAACAUGUGGUUUAAUUCGAUGAUACGCGAGGAACCUUACCCGGGCUUAAAUUGCAGUGGAAUGAUGUGGAAACAUGUCAGUGAGCAAUCACCGCUGUGAAGGUGCUGCAUGGUUGUCGUCAGCUCGUGCCGUGAGGUGUCGGCUUAAGUGCCAUAACGAGCGCAACCCUUAUCUUUAGUUACUAACAGGUUAUGCUGAGGACUCUAGAGAGACUGCCGUCGUAAGAUGUGAGGAAGGUGGGGAUGACGUCAAAUCAGCACGGCCCUUACGUCCGGGGCUACACACGUGUUACAAUGGGGGGGUACAGAAGGCAGCUAGCGGGUGACCGUAUGCUAAUCCCAAAAUCCUCUCUCAGUUCGGAUCGAAGUCUGCAACCCGACUUCGUGAAGCUGGAUUCGCUAGUAAUCGCGCAUCAGCCACGGCGCGGUGAAUACGUUCCCGGGCCUUGUACACACCGCCCGUCAAGCCAUGGGAGCCGGGGGUACCUGAAGUGCGUAACCGCGAGGAUCGCCCUAGGGUAAAACUGG